rnacentral:rRNA from 1 species
GAUGAACGCUGGCGGCGUGCCUAAUACAUGCAAGUCGAGCGAGCAGACGAGGAGCUUGCUCCUCUGACGUUAGCGGCGGACGGGUGAGUAACACGUGGAUAACCUACCUAUAAGACUGGGAUAACUUCGGGAAACCGGAGCUAAUACCGGAUAAUAUAUUGAACCGCAUGGUUCAAUAGUGAAAGACAGUUUUGCUGUCACUUAUAGAUGGAUCCGCGCCGCAUUAGCUAGUUGGUAAGGUAACGGCUUACCAAGGCAACGAUGCGUAGCCGACCUGAGAGGGUGAUCGGCCACACUGGAACUGAGACACGGUCCAGACUCCUACGGGAGGCAGCAGUAGGGAAUCUUCAGCAAUGGGCGAAAGCCUGACGGAGAAACGCCGCGUGAGUGAUGAAGGUCUUCGGAUCGUAAAACUCUGUUAUUAGGGAAGAACAAAUGUGUAAGUAACUAUGCACGUCUUGAAGGUACCUAAUCAGAAAGCCACGGCUAACUACGUG